UAGGGCGCAAGCGUUGUCCGGAAUUAUUGGGCGUAAAGAGCUCGUAGGUGGCUUGUCACGUCGGGUGUGAAAGCUUGGGGCUUAACUCCAGGUCUGCAUUCGAUACGGGCUGGCUAGAGGUAGGUAGGGGAGAACGGAAUUCCUGGUGUAGCGGUGAAAUGCGCAGAUAUCAGGAAGAACACCCGUGGCUAAGGCGGCUCUCUAGUACGGUACUGACGCUGAGACGCGAAAGCGUGGGGAGCGAACAGG
rnacentral:rRNA from 1 species